rnacentral:rRNA from 1 species
GAUGAACGCUGGCGGCACGCCUAACACAUGCAAGUCGAACGAUUAAAGCACCUUCGGGUGUGUAUAAAGUGGCGAACGGCUGAGUAACACGUGGGCAACCUGCCCCUUUCAUUGGGAUAGCCACGGGAAACCGUGGAUAAUACCGAAUACUUCGAGACUUCCGCAUGGAAGACUCGAGAAAGCUCCGGCGGAGAGGGAUGGGCCCGCGGCCUGUUAGCUUGUUGGUGGGGUAACGGCCUACCAAGGCAAUGAUGGGUAGCUGGGUUGAGAGACCGACCAGCCAGAUUGGGACUGAGACACGGCCCAGACUCCUACGGGAGGCAGCAGUGGGGAAUCUUGCACAAUGGGCGAAAGCCUGAUGCAGCGACGCCGCGUGCGGGAUGAAGGCCUUCGGGUUGUAAACCGCUUUCAGCAGGGACGAGGCGAAAGUGACGGUACCUGCAGAAGAAGCCCCGGCUAACUACGUG